rnacentral:rRNA from 1 species
AAGCCUGAUGCAGCAACGCCGCGUGAACGAUGAAGGUCUUCGGAUCGUAAAGUUCUGUUGCAGGGGAAGAUAAUGACGGUACCCUGUGAGGAAGCCCCGGCUAACUACGUGCCAGCAGCCGCGGUAAUACGUAGGGGGCUAGCGUUAUCCGGAUUUACUGGGCGUAAAGGGUGCGUAGGUGGUCCUUCAAGUCGGUGGUUAAAGGCUACGGCUCAACCGUAGUAAGCCGCCGAAACUGGAGGACUUGAGUGCAGGAGAGGAAAGUGGAAUUCCCAGUGUAGCGGUGAAAUGCGUAGAUAUUGGGAGGAACACCAGUAGCGAAGGCGGCUUUCUGGACUGCAACUGACACUGAGGCACGAAAGCGUGGGUAGCAAACAGGAUUAGAUACCCUGGUAGUCCACGCUGUAAACGAUGAGUACUAGGUGUCGGGGGUUACCCCCCUCGGUGCCGCAGCUAAGCGCAUUAAGUACUCCGCCUGGGGAGUACGCACGCCAGUGUGAAACUCAAAGGAAUUGACGGGGACCCGCACAAGUAGCGGAGCAUGUGGUUGAAUUCGA